GUCGUAAUGGCCAAGUGGUUAAGGCAAUGGACUAGAACUCCGUUUCUCUAUGCACAGGUUCAAGUCCUGCCAACUAUG
rnacentral:tRNA from 1 species